GUUCAUUCGGAUUUCGAACACCACAGUACGACCGCCGAUUCAGCCUUAGUCAUGUCAUCACGAUCCCGGAACGCGCGUUAAAAACUUGUGAUUGCUGUCGGACGUCCACGGCUUGUAUCAGUUCGGGUGUUAUGCAAAAUCCACGAAAUAACUAGGGACGAACGACUGGAGUUUGUAUGAGGAAGAAAAAAUACCGUCAAUUCGAAAAUUCUUAACAAUUCAACGUUACGACUUUAUGAUGAAAAAAAAAAUAUAUCCACUUUCAAUCUAUUUUACUAUUUAAUUAGAUUUGAGAGCACGUUCAAAAUGAUUACCAACCCGAUGAAAAUCUAUAAACCUUUAAGAAAUUCAAAGGGACAAGCAAUUGGUGUAAUAUUAGUAUAAUACGUCUAUGUGGAUACAAAUAUUUUUUCAAUUCCGAACAUAAUGUGGCGUCAUAUCUCCAACGAAAAGAAAAUCUUCCAUAUCUAAAUUAUAUUUCAUUCAAAUCCAAAUUAAAAGGAAAAAAUAUGCAGCCCUAAAAUAAUA